UACGGAGGGUGCAAGCGUUAUCCGGAUUCACUGGGUUUAAAGGGUGCGUAGGCGGAACAGAAAGUCCGUUGUGAAAUCUCCGAGCUUAACUCGGGAAAUUGCGGUGGAUACUAUUGUUCUUGAAUACUGUUGAGGUUAGCGGAAUAUGUCAUGUAGCGGUGAAAUGCAUAGAUAUGACAUAGAACACCAAUUGCGAAGGCAGCUGGCUAAACAGAUAUUGACGCUGAGGCACGAAAGCGUGGGGAUCAAACAGG
rnacentral:rRNA from 1 species